rnacentral:rRNA from 2 species
GGGUUGUGAGGUUAAGCGACUAAGCGUACACGGUGGAUGCCCUGGCAGUCAGAGGCGAUGAAGGACGUGCUAAUCUGCGAUAAGCGUCGGUAAGGUGAUAUGAACCGUUAUAACCGGCGAUUUCCGAAUGGGGAAACCCAGUGUGAUUCGUCACACUAUCAUUAACUGAAUCCAUAGGUUAAUGAGGCGAACCGGGGGAACUGAAACAUCUAAGUACCCCGAGGAAAAGAAAUCAACCGAGAUUCCCCCAGUAGCGGCGAGCGAACGGGGAGCAGCCCAGAGCCUGAAUCAGUGUGUGUGUUAGUGGAAGCGUCUGGAAAGGCGCGCGAUACAGGGUGACAGCCCCGUACACAAAAAUGCACAUGCUGUGAGCUCGAUGAGUAGGGCGGGACACGUGGUAUCCUGUCUGAAUAUGGGGGGACCAUCCUCCAAGGCUAAAUACUCCUGACUGACCGAUAGUGAACCAGUACCGUGAGGGAAAGGCGAAAAGAACCCCGGCGAGGGGAGUGAAAAAGAACCUGAAACCGUGUACGUACAAGCAGUGGGAGCACGCUUAGGCGUGUGACUGCGUACCUUUUGUAUAAUGGGUCAGCGACUUAUAUUCUGUAGCAAGGUUAACCGAAUAGGGGAGCCGAAGGGAAACCGAGUCUUAACUGGGCGUUAAGUUGCAGGGUAUAGACCCGAAACCCGGUGAUCUAGCCAUGGGCAGGUUGAAGGUUGGGUAACACUAACUGGAGGACCGAACCGACUAAUGUUGAAAAAUUAGCGGAUGACUUGUGGCUGGGGGUGAAAGGCCAAUCAAACCGGGAGAUAGCUGGUUCUCCCCGAAAGCUAUUUAGGUAGCGCCUCGUGAAUUCAUCUCCGGGGGUAGAGCACUGUUUCGGCAAGGGGGUCAUCCCGACUUACCAACCCGAUGCAAACUGCGAAUACCGGAGAAUGUUAUCACGGGAGACACACGGCGGGUGCUAACGUCCGUCGUGAAGAGGGAAACAACCCAGACCGCCAGCUAAGGUCCCAAAGUCAUGGUUAAGUGGGAAACGAUGUGGGAAGGCCCAGACAGCCAGGAUGUUGGCUUAGAAGCAGCCAUCAUUUAAAGAAAGCGUAAUAGCUCACUGGUCGAGUCGGCCUGCGCGGAAGAUGUAACGGGGCUAAACCAUGCACCGAAGCUGCGGCAGCGACGCUGAUGCGUUGUUGGGUAGGGGAGCGUUCUGUAAGCCUGCGAAGGUGUGCUGUGAGGCAUGCUGGAGGUAUCAGAAGUGCGAAUGCUGACAUAAGUAACGAUAAAGCGGGUGAAAAGCCCGCUCGCCGGAAGACCAAGGGUUCCUGUCCAACGUUAAUCGGGGCAGGGUGAGUCGACCCCUAAGGCGAGGCCGAAAGGCGUAGUCGAUGGGAAACAGGUUAAUAUUCCUGUACUUGGUGUUACUGCGAAGGGGGGACGGAGAAGGCUAUGUUGGCCGGGCGACGGUUGUCCCGGUUUAAGCGUGUAGGCUGGUUUUCCAGGCAAAUCCGGAAAAUCAAGGCUGAGGCGUGAUGACGAGGCACUACGGUGCUGAAGCAACAAAUGCCCUGCUUCCAGGAAAAGCCUCUAAGCAUCAGGUAACAUCAAAUCGUACCCCAAACCGACACAGGUGGUCAGGUAGAGAAUACCAAGGCGCUUGAGAGAACUCGGGUGAAGGAACUAGGCAAAAUGGUGCCGUAACUUCGGGAGAAGGCACGCUGAUAUGUAGGUGAAGUCCCUCGCGGAUGGAGCUGAAAUCAGUCGAAGAUACCAGCUGGCUGCAACUGUUUAUUAAAAACACAGCACUGUGCAAACACGAAAGUGGACGUAUACGGUGUGACGCCUGCCCGGUGCCGGAAGGUUAAUUGAUGGGGUUAGCGCAAGCGAAGCUCUUGAUCGAAGCCCCGGUAAACGGCGGCCGUAACUAUAACGGUCCUAAGGUAGCGAAAUUCCUUGUCGGGUAAGUUCCGACCUGCACGAAUGGCGUAAUGAUGGCCAGGCUGUCUCCACCCGAGACUCAGUGAAAUUGAACUCGCUGUGAAGAUGCAGUGUACCCGCGGCAAGACGGAAAGACCCCGUGAACCUUUACUAUAGCUUGACACUGAACAUUGAGCCUUGAUGUGUAGGAUAGGUGGGAGGCUUUGAAGUGUGGACGCCAGUCUGCAUGGAGCCGACCUUGAAAUACCACCCUUUAAUGUUUGAUGUUCUAACGUUGACCCGUAAUCCGGGUUGCGGACAGUGUCUGGUGGGUAGUUUGACUGGGGCGGUCUCCUCCUAAAGAGUAACGGAGGAGCACGAAGGUUGGCUAAUCCUGGUCGGACAUCAGGAGGUUAGUGCAAUGGCAUAAGCCAGCUUGACUGCGAGCGUGACGGCGCGAGCAGGUGCGAAAGCAGGUCAUAGUGAUCCGGUGGUUCUGAAUGGAAGGGCCAUCGCUCAACGGAUAAAAGGUACUCCGGGGAUAACAGGCUGAUACCGCCCAAGAGUUCAUAUCGACGGCGGUGUUUGGCACCUCGAUGUCGGCUCAUCACAUCCUGGGGCUGAAGUAGGUCCCAAGGGUAUGGCUGUUCGCCAUUUAAAGUGGUACGCGAGCUGGGUUUAGAACGUCGUGAGACAGUUCGGUCCCUAUCUGCCGUGGGCGCUGGAGAACUGAGGGGGGCUGCUCCUAGUACGAGAGGACCGGAGUGGACGCAUCACUGGUGUUCGGGUUGUCAUGCCAAUGGCACUGCCCGGUAGCUAAAUGCGGAAGAGAUAAGUGCUGAAAGCAUCUAAGCACGAAACUUGCCCCGAGAUGAGUUCUCCCUGACUCCUUGAGAGUCCUGAAGGAACGUUGAAGACGACGACGUUGAUAGGCCGGGUGUGUAAGCGCAGCGAUGCGUUGAGCUAACCGGUACUAAUGAACCGUGAGGCUUAACCUUACAACGCCGAAGGUGUUU